GCUCUCAGCCUUCCUUCCUAGGAGAGGAGCUCCAGCCAUCUGAUCAUCUUUGUAGCCCUCCUCUGGACUUGAUCUAACAACCACACAUCUUUCUUGUGCUGGCACCCUGUGUGUGCGCAAGUCCCUGCUGCCACUGUGCACAAAUCUGACAAAAGGUGGUUGCUGGGAGGGGUUUGGGGACUGAGGUGUAGGUUAUGUCAACCUCUUCGGUUAGCAGAUGAUAUACUUACCUGCGAAUGGGAGUCCCCACGUCAGUCUCUUUCUGAGCCUGGAUGCCAACCACCAAGGAAGGUGCCCUGAGGUUGGUUCUGACGUACCCUUUAGCAGCAGGAUUUUCUGGUCUGGCCAAAAUGGGCAGCUGGGGGCAAAGAAGAGAGGCAGAGGAAUAGGCACAUCCCUCGCAGACCCAUCUGAACUCAUCUUAGUGAGUUGUGGCCCCAGCUGGAUGUCCAAGGGUAGAACAUUGUAGUGUUGUAACUUCCGAGCUUCUCAACCGUGAGUUACUCUUCAACUUUAUUUUCACGCAAUCAUACAUAUUCAUGCAGAAAUACGGCGUCAGAUACUAAUGAAACAUUGUGGGGUUAAAUUGGUCUUUUAGUAGCUCCAUUAAUUUGAUGGAAUUGCACCAGAGACUAGGUUGAUUUACAAUGUAAAUACAUUUUGGUAAAAGGUAUGGAAAUAACUAAACAAACAAUUGCAGUUAAAGAUGCAUGACUCUAUUAGAGUUUAAUUUUAAAUGGCUGCAAAGAAAGGAGAACGUACCACUCUUUUGUUAAGAUAGAAAUAAAUAAAAUACACUAUAAGUGUUGGAGAUAAUUAGUUAAGUGCUCAACUAUUUAGUUUUUAAAACAGGAUCACGCUUAAGUGCCUUAAGCUUUUAUUAAUUGCAUGGACCCAAAAAUCCCCUGUAGUAAUUGAAAAUUUAAUUACAUACAUUUUUUGUUCUUUUAAGAAUAGAAGCUUGUUAAACUUUAAACACUUAAACAUCUAUUGAAAUAACCAGUGGCUAUAAACAAUGUGCAGUUCCAAAUACUAAUUAAACAGGAAGGCUAAAUCACUAUAAAGCUAAACUGAAUUUUAAGUAACUUUACACUCGUAAGUACUCUGAUUUUUUUUUCACGCAGUAUAAGAUUCACCAUUCCCUCUCCACACGCAGCUGAAGUCCUGGCAGUGUUAUUGUUUGUCUGCACUGUCAGGCAGGUUUUGUGGAUAUAUUUGAAGUGAGGGCCAGUCUCUAGGGGCGAAACUGGGUUUCAGAAUGGAGAUGGGCAUGGGCAGAGAGCUGGUCAUGUGGGCAGUUGCUGGUGAUGCUGGUACGUGCGGAGGUUCAUGUGCCUGUAGGAAAGGGGACAUGGUAGCAAAUGGCUGGGAGAGGUGGCUUGGUGGGAUUGGUUAAGGAAGCAGUGGUCUGUUCACAACCAACUGAUAAGAUUUCUGAUUUGGUAAGAGGUACAUGUGGAAAGGUCCUUCAUUUCUCUUUGUUCAUGGAACUGGGACCAGAGAUUUUGAUAUUUGUGUUCUGUUUUAUGAUCCAAUCUAAUGCAAGUCUCUGUCAGUUAAUCAACUGAUGUAAUGCUUAGUUAAUUUUGUUUGGACAGAUGGCUAACUUCCUAAAAUUAGCCAUUGCUAUUUACAUUCUUAUUAACAAAAGAUAAACAUAGAAUUAACCUCUGUCUAAACUAUCUUCUGAUUUUUAGAUGAGGCUCUUUUUGGGUAUAAAGGUUUGCUUUUGCUUCUGCUCAGCCAACCCAAGAAGAACAUUACUAUGGUGAGGUUGGAGUGGGUUGUAAGUACGUAGACACGAUGCUCUCCCAAACCACUCGAGGCAAGUCUCUGCCUAGAAGAGUAUUUGAGCUGCUGUCCAUCACUGUCUAAACUAGCAUUUAAAAUACCUCUAGAGACAGCAGAAGUAACCUGAUGGAAUUAACAGCAGAAGACAGACAAGAAUACAGACUAUUUUCAAGCACUGAUUGUGAGUGCUGUCAGUUCAUCAGAUGCAAUUCCUCUCUCAGCACUACUGUAAAUACAGAAUCACAGAAUCGUCUAGGUUG